UUUAUCAGGGCUCGGUUUGAGCUAUUGACAGGAUUGUAACCACAACAUCGAUCGUAAAGUGUUUACUGGAGAUGUCACACUCUUCAAGGUUUUAUUCGUGGCCAUAUGUAAUCGACGUUCUCUUCAACAUUAUGUCACCGGGUCGUGAUUGAUUAAGAUAGUGAUUGAUUUUAAGUAUUUCAAGAUUAUAUUAUUACCUGUUUAUAAAGGGCUUUUCUGCAAAAGAGAAAUUAACAACGUAUGCGCGUGAGAUUUUAAUAACACCAAUAGUGAUGAUCACGGAUAGUGAUUUGCUGAACAUGUACAUGAAAGAUGCGAUCAGGAACAGUUCGCUCGCACAACACAGCCUUUCCGGAGGAGGGCCUAUUAAACCGCCCCAUCGAGGUCCGAGGAAGACACCGAGCAGUCAUUCAAAUAUCUCCGCCCCACCGAUUGUACAAAAUGGGUCAAGUUGGCAACGAGACGGUGCAGGGGGCGAGGACACAGAGUAACGAAGAGUGACCAUACAACUCGUCGAAAAAAUGCAAAAGAACAAACUGACGAUGUAAAUAGACUGGCGAAUUCAGCACCAGCAGGUACCAAGAUAUCACCGAGUAGUAAACCAACACACAAACCACCACUACCGAAGUUAAAUAAUUUGGUCACAGCAGAGACGUAUGGCGUUACCUCAGCAACUCAGGCUUCGCGUGACCAUAGUAACCGCCACUGGGCAUCUUCAUGGGCAGAUGCGUAUUCCAGAAACUCGGCGGCAAUCCCACGUGAGGCGAAG